rnacentral:rRNA from 1 species
ACGUAGGUGGCAAGCGUUGUCCGGAAUUAUUGGGCGUAAAGCGCGCGCAGGCGGUUAUAUAAGUCUGAUUUUAAAGUUCGGGGCUCAACCCCGUGAUGGAUUGGAAACUGUAUAAAUUGAGUACAGUAGAGGGAAGCGGCAUUCCCAGUGUAGGGGGUAAGGGCGUAGAGAUGGGGAGGAACAGCAGAGGCGAAGGCGGAAAACUGGGCUUUAUCCGCGUGUGUGACGGAAGAGCCACUCGAACAAUAGG